CCAAACUCAUAUAUAUCAUAUUUGAAAAUACUAAUCAAAGUUUACGCAACUACGGAGGUCCAAUAAUUUUAUGUAGCAGACAAGUUUAUUGGACAGACGUCCUAUGCAGUUCAGUUGAGAACUAAUCACCAAAAGGCAAAAAUGGCACCUCCUUGUCCUUCUUCUGCUACUACUCCUCAUGUGUUAAUCUUUCCUUUCCCUGCCCAGGGCCAUGUCAACUCUAUGCUCAAGCUAGCCGAACUUUUAAGCCUUGCCGGUCUUAACAUUACCUUCCUAAACACAGAGCAUAGUCAUGAACGCCUAACCCGUUUCACAGAUGUUGAGGCCCGUUUUGCCAAGUAUCCAGGAUUCCAUUUCAUGACUAUGCCUGACUGUUUGCCUGUAGAUCACCCACUUACGAUGAUCUAACGGAUUUGUUUGAGUCAUUGCAAUUGAAGAGUAAGCCAAUUUUUAAACAACUGCUGAUUGAAACUAGGCCACCGGUUAACUGUAUCAUCGGAGAUGGGCUCCUGGGUUUUCCUCUUGAUGUUGCAAUUGAGCUUGGAAUUCCAAUUAUUCGUUUCCGUACCAUUAGUGCUUGUUGUUUCUGGACCUACUUUUUUGUUCCUGAUAUGAUUGAAGCUUGCGAACUUCCCAUCAAAGGUAUAACUCCGUCUUUAUAUCUCCGUUGUUGCAUUUGUGCCAGAGGCAAUGUUGAGUUUGAACUCCAGAGUCUUGAAAUUUCUGUCUACUUAAUUCUGAUUCAAUUGUAUUACUGAAUGAGUGUUUCGCUGAAAUCGAAGGAAAAGAAGAUAUGGACCGAAUCAUAACGAAAGUGCCAGGCAUGGAGACCUUUCUCCGGUGCCGAGAUCUUCCAAGUUUCUGCCGUGUUAGCGACGUGACGGACCUUUAUCUCCUAAUGAUUGUGAACGAGACACGGCAAUCCCCCCGAGCACAAGCCCUCAUCCUCAAC
rnacentral:misc_RNA from 1 species